rnacentral:tRNA from 1 species
AGGAUAAUAGUUAAGAAGCUGCUAACUAUCUUAAAGACAUUAAUAUGUCAAUUCCUU